rnacentral:lncRNA from 1 species
AAGGUUCCCUAGCUGGGGAACGAGGAGUUUGCGCCCUGCUGCGCUGAUACUGUGGUGGCCUCUGAUGAGGCUGGUAAGCGGUGACCCUACCUCCUGCUCCACUACCGGAGGCCUGGUGGUCCCUCCUCCUGAUCGGCCCAUUCCCCGGUAAUGCUUUCUUCUCUUUCCUCCCCAACCCUUCUAACUGGUCUGUCUUAAUCCGUGCAGCCUUCUCCUCUUCAAUCUCGAUGUCUCUCUUAGCCUGUUCGUAUGCGACUGCAUACAUUUGAAUAGUUGGGCUUCUCAAAUUGUACCACAGCCUUCCUAUCU